rnacentral:misc_RNA from 1 species
GCGUAAUUUUUUUUCAUUUUCUUAUUUCGUCCACUUUGACUGGUAUUUCGCUAGACCAAAAUUUUUACGCCAAUUACAACAGUAACAGUAAACAAAACGACGACGGGACUCUCGUAAUAAUUACCGUCCGCUCUUUUGCCCGGCGGUUUUCAUGUCGAGUUUGACCGGCCGCGGACAUUAACGUCGCCUCCGCCGCUGUGACAAGUCGAACGCGCCCCAACGGUACUCGAAUCCGGGGAACAGGAACCACCGGACCACAGCGGCGGCAUUGGACAGGGGACACCACCGGGGAGGAAACGGGACUGAUCGUACGAAAAACGAAAACCGCAGAAAACGCCACUCAGGACCAUCAGGAACCAUGGAAAAGGGUGACAAGAAAAACAACGAUUGUUACUUUUACUACUAUUCGACUUGCAUGAAGGGAGACAAAUGCCCAUUUCGCCAUGAACCACAAGCAUUAGGAUGUGAAAUGGUAUGUAGUUUUUGGCAAAACGGGAAGUGUGAAAAUGAUCAUUGUACAUUACGCCACAUGGAAUUGAAGAAAAACCGAAAAGCAAUACCAUGUUAUUGGGAAAAACAACCAACUGGAUGUCGUAAGCCAUAUUGUGCGUUUUUACAUACCAAAACCCGAGAUCCAUCUCAAGAUGCAGGGGCUAUUGCAAUCGCAGCUAACACCAUGGCUAUUGAAAAUAGUUUUCGCAUAAACCCAAUGGCUGGUGUCGCACUUACUGCUGGUCCUGAAGCUGCAUUGCGACAACGUUAUGACCAGCCAUUACGAAUGAAUUGACAACCAAUGAACGCAAGUACGGCAUCUACUGUUUAUGGCAGUUCUGUCGUCACACUGCCAUACGUAUUCAACAAUAAUCAAUCCACUGCUGCCAUGUUUCUUGAUCAUUGCAACUUUAAUGCGUUUAUAUAAAGUUCAAUAAUGGUACAAGGCAGAACUGUUUCACUCAAAAAAUGCAAUAUUCAACAACUUAAGGCCGAAGCUUGUUUAUUUAUUUAUCUUUGUUUUUCUAUCUGAACAUUUUAUUUUUAUUUUAAACUAUUGUUAUUAUUUAUUUUAUUUUUAAGUAAUUUUUAAUGAACAUCAUGUUUUUUCUGCACUGUAGUUCAUAAUAUAAAAAACGUGUUGCAUAAUUCUACGUUUAUUCAGCUCAAUUUCUAUUAAUCUGGUUACAUUCUAAAUGCU